UCUUCGAUAGUACAGGGGUUAGUAUAUCCGCUUUUCACGCGGACGACCCGGGUUCGAAUCCCGGUCGGAGAA